AUUGAACGCUGGCGGCAGGCCUAACACAUGCAAGUCGAGCGGAUGAAGGGAGCUUGCUCCUGGAUUCAGCGGCGGACGGGUGAGUAAUGCCUAGGAAUCUGCCUGGUAGUGGGGGAUAACGUCCGGAAACGGGCGCUAAUACCGCAUACGUCCUGAGGGAGAAAGUGGGGGAUCUUCGGACCUCACGCUAUCAGAUGAGCCUAGGUCGGAUUAGCUAGUUGGUGGGGUAAAGGCCUACCAAGGCGACGAUCCGUAACUGGUCUGUGAGGAUGAUCAGUCACACUGGAGCUGAGACACGGUCCAGACUCCUGCGGGAGGCAGCAGUGGGGAAUAUUGGACAGUGGGCGAAAGCCUGGUCCAGCCAUGCCGCGUGUGUGAAGAAGGUCUUCGGAUUGUAAAGCACGUUAAGUUGGGAGGAAGGGCAGUAAGUUAAUACCUUGCUGUUUUGACGUUACCAACAGAAUAAGCACCGGCUAACUUCGUG
rnacentral:rRNA from 1 species